rnacentral:rRNA from 1 species
GAAGGUGGCAAGCGUUGUUCGGAUUUACUGGGCGUAAAGGGAGCGUAGGCGGUUUGGUAAGCCCUCCGAGAAAUCUCCCGGCCUAACCGGGAAAGGUCGGAGGGGACUGCUUGACUAGAGGGCGGGAGAGGAGCGCGGAAUUCCCGAUGUAGCGGUGAAAUGCGUAGAGAUCGGGAGGAAGGCCGGUGGCGAAGGCGGCGCUCUGGAACGAUCCUGACGCUGAGGCUCGAAAGCGUGGGGAGCAAACAGGAUUAGAUACCCUGGUAGUCCACGCCCUAAACGAUGGACACUAAGUGUCGGCAGGUUACUGCCGGUGCCGCAGCUAACGCAUUAAGUGUCCCGCCUGGGGAGUACGGCCGCAAGGUUG